UGGGUCCCCUCACAGCACCCACGGCCCCUGCUGCUUGCCAGAACACUUUUGGCUGCUUGUAGUGCAAAUAUUUUAGGAAUUGAGUUUGAUCCUUGGACCACCAGAGACCCUGGCAUCUGGGCUGCAUUUUUUUUCCACAGAGCUGUAGGGAAAGCAGGACAGGAAUGUUCCCAUGAGGGGGAAUCAAUGUCUGCCGGGCUGGGUCAGUGGUUCUAAACUGGUGUGGUUCUGCCCUGAAUGAAGUGUCACUGUGCUUUCCCACCUGUGUGGAUGGAACAGAACAUGAGCAGUUGGAGGUUUAGAGUCAGUCAGAAAAAUAAAAUGUGAAUUGUUUGUAAUUUCCUGUGGAAAAGCUUCAGACAUCUAACCUCAAGACAGAAGAAAAUGCAUUGUGUGUUAAUCAGGCAGAACAAGGGGAAUAGGAAAAUGGGAGCCUGGAUGCAAACACUUCACAAAUCUCAGUGAUCUGGAAAAUAAAAAUAUCAUGAGAAGGGGGAGUGUUCCCAAAGGUCUUUGUGGAUCAAUGUAAUGUUGAGCUAAAGGAAAUUACAGAGUGAAAAAGAAAUCCCACAGGAGAUAAUGAAGCAAGUAGGAAAGAAAAGAAAGGAAAAGGUACAAGAAGAAAGCAAAAACGUUGCAUAGAGAGCAAAUGCCUGCGUUUGGGGCAGCACUGAAUGUACAGGAAUCGGCCUUCCUGGAUCCUUUCCUCCUGGAUUGCCCGUGUCCCAUGGAAAAGAUCCAGCCCUGCCACCACUAGAGGACACCCUCGCAUUUAACAUAUGUAUCUUGCCUUACAUCAUCCCAGCCAGAGUUAAACAGGUGCUCUCUGGGGAGGGCUGAGAGAGGCGUGUCCAAAAGGGACUCAAAACACUCGAGGAGUAUUUUAAAAAAUGGAUUCGUACUUAAAGCUGAAGCCAUGUAUU